CCCGCAGGAGCUGCACACUUAAGGCUCGAUGAUGUUUUAGUAUAGUUAAGUUAUAUGUGUGGUUACCGAAUGUUGUUCGGUGUCCCGGAUGAGAUCACGGACAUCACGAGGGUUUCUGGAAUGUUCCGGAAAUGAAGAUUGAUAUAUAGGAUGGCUUCAUUUGGUUACCGGAAGGUUUUCGGGCAUUACCCGAAAUGUACUAUGAGUGACGAAUGGGUUCUGGAAGUUCACCGGGAGGGGGGGGCAACCCACCCGGGGAAUCCCAAUGGAACUAGGGUGGCGCACCUGUCCUUAGUGGUCCCAAGG
rnacentral:lncRNA from 1 species